CGUCAGCAAAUUAUUCAAGGGUAUAAAUGGUGGGAUUAGCGAUGGGACGUCCAUUUACUCUGGAAGCGAAGAACGCCUAAUAAGGUAUCCAGUUGAUUCGACCACAGACCUACCCGUAUUGAUGGCCAGAGUUACGUGCCUACUGUUGCUAGGCUGUCUGCUUUCUUGCUGUAUGGCUAAUACCCUAGAGAGUCUUGUCAGACGGAACACUCCGAAAGGCCACACCUUCAGCGCGUUCGUUGAGAUAUGCGAGUCGUGUGGCGAAUAUUUUGGAAAUAGCCUCUCCUACAGAUGUAUCAUGGACCGUUCAUUAACAACCUUUCGACAGUGUAACACAGCCGUAGUAUCCGUCAACAGGAGGCGCUGAUCUUCGUGUCAUUUCCGGGAGAUCAGAUUCCAAUGCUAUUUAUUGACAGACUUGGUUUAGCAAUCUUAUUAAUUUAUUUUAUAUACUGCUAAUUCAUAUAUUGAUCAAAUGUAAUAAAA